ensembl:lncRNA
GGAUGGAGAGCUAGAGGGAUGGAGAGAUAGAGGGAUGGAGAGAUAGAGGGAUGGAGAGGUAGAGGGAUGGAGAGGUAGAGGGAUGGAGAGAUAGAGGGAUGGAGAGGUAGAGGGAUGGAGAGGUAGAGGGAUGGAGAGGUAGAGGGAUGGAGAGGUAGAGGGAUGGAGAUAGAGAGGGAUGGAGGGAUGGAGAGAUAGAGGGAUGGAGAGAUAGAGGGAUGGAGAGGUAGAUGGAUGGAGAGAUAGAGGGAUGGAGAGAGAGAGGGAUGGAGAGAGAGAGGGAUGGAGAGGUAGAGGGAUGAGAGAUAGAGGGAUGCAGAGAUAGAGGGAUGGAGAGGUAGAGGGAUGGAGAGGUAGAGGGAUGGAGAGAUAGAGGGAUGGAGAGGUAGAGGGAUGGAGAGGUAG